UACGUAGGUGGCAAGCGUUGUCCGGAAUUAUUGGGCGUAAAGCGUGCGCAGGCGGUUUGGUAAGACAGACGUGAAAUCCCCGGGCUUAACCUGGGAACUGCGUUUGUGACUGCCAGACUAGAGUGUAGCAGAGGGGGGUAGAAUUCCACGUGUAGCAGUGAAAUGCGUAGAGAUGUGGAGGAAUACCGAUGGCGAAGGCAGCCCCCUGGGCUAACACUGACGCUCAUGCACGAAAGCGUGGGGAGCAAACAGG
rnacentral:rRNA from 1 species